rnacentral:rRNA from 1 species
UACAGAGGGUGCGAGCGUUAAUCGGAGUUACUGGGCGUAAAGCGUGCGUAGGUGGUUGCAUAAGUUAGGUGUGAAAUUCCCGGGCUUAACCUGGGGACUGCGCCUAAUACUGUUCAGCUAGAGUAUUGUAGAGGAAAGUGGAAUUUCCGGUGUAGCAGUGAAAUGCGUAGAUAUCGGAAGGAACAUCAGUGGCGAUGGCGACUUUCUGGACAAAUACUGACACUGAGGCACGAAAGCAUGGGGAGCAAACAGG